CGGAUCGCUGACGUGUCACGAUAUUGAACAGUUGGAGCAUACUUUUCUUGAUCCUUCCACAGCUUUGGUUUAACUUAUUUGGAUUACGCUUCCUCCUUUCACUUCUCUUCAUCUUCAUCUUCCUCACUUUGUCGUCUCAAUUCUCUCCUCUCGAGCCUCCUUUAACGACGAAGACAUCAAAGAAAAGCUUCCUCGAAUCAGAUUCAAAAGCUUUCUCUCUCUUUCUGGUUCCAUAGCUCACCGUCGCAGAUCUAUUCCUGCCGGUGUACUUUUUCUCGGCGGAGAAAUCAGAUCAGAUCUGGCCGGCCUGCUCUAAACUGCUAUCAUAUUCUCGCCGUAGCCUUUUGGGUUUAUAAAGGAGCAGUAGAGGAUGAUGGUGGAUCUAAUCUCUCUGGUUAAUUGGACACGGAGAGCUUGCACGGCUCUUGACCAUGGAGAAUCUAGCGCCCUACCUCUAUGGGAUUUCUAGCGUUGUUGGUGGUCAGAGAGCUCAGUGAAGUAUUCAGUUCUGGAGAGCAUCGUCGUAAAAGACUUUUUACCCCAUGGAUCUGGAAGAAGCUAGGUAUGUCAAUAAUUUUGAAGAAUAAGUUCAAAGAUUUGGAGAUAAGAGUGUAGAGAAUUCGCAAGAUUAAUUACACGACUUACGGCUUUUGUAUCAUACUUUUGUAUCAUACAAAGUAUGAACUUAUCUUUAUUUUUAUUUGGUAAUAUAUAGGUCGUUUGUAUCUGUUUCAUACAAAUAUAAUAAAAAAAUCUGGUAUUUUUCAUUUUAA